rnacentral:rRNA from 1 species
AACGAACGCUGGCGGCAUGCCUAACACAUGCAAGUCGAACGAGACCUUCGGGUCUAGUGGCGCACGGGUGCGUAACGCGUGGGAACCUGCCCUUAGGUUCGGGAUAACUCCCCGAAAGGGGUGCUAAUACCGGAUAAUGUCUUCGGACCAAAGAUUUAUCGCCUUUGGAUGGGCCCGCGUUGGAUUAGCUAGUUGGUAGGGUAAAAGCCUACCAAGGCGACGAUCCAUAGCUGGUCUGAGAGGAUGAUCAGCCACACUGGGACUGAGACACGGCCCAGACUCCUACGGGAGGCAGCAGUGGGGAAUAUUGGACAAUGGGCGAAAGCCUGAUCCAGCAAUGCCGCGUGAGUGAUGAAGGCCUUAGGGUUGUAAAGCUCUUUUACCCGGGACGAUAAUGACAGUACCGGGUGAAUAAGCUCCGGCUAACUCCGUG